ensembl:miRNA MIR26B microRNA 26b
UGCCCGGGACCCAGUUCAAGUAAUUCAGGAUAGGUUGUGUGCUGUCCAGCCUGUUCUCCAUUACUUGGCUCGGGGGCCGGUGC